rnacentral:lncRNA from 1 species
GAUGGUCGGGAAUUUUACUCAAUGCAUCAUAUCGCUGAUCGUCGGUUAAACCUUCAAUUGACCAUAAGGCUGAAUAUAAAUUUGAAGCUCUCUCUUCCAUAUGUUGUUCUGACUUCUGCUGAACUACCACCUCGGAGGCAAAACUCCUACUGAUUUGAUCGCCAACGGCCUGGAUUUUCUCCCCGAACAAAGUGGCAGCCUCAUUAAAUGAAGAAAACACAUUAUCACGAGCAUCAGAUUUCUUCUUUCUCUUGUUUGAAGAUGAGGAACCCCCUUGGUCUCGAUCUCCUCG